CCCACUGAAAAUCAUUUUUACCUGAAAUUUAAAAGUUUUUUUUUUAACUUUAUGGAGUUGUGCAGCUCUGCUGCCUGGCAGAGAGGCUGCAGGUUCAAAUCCCAUCUGUCCCCGUUUUCUCUGGUUUAUUUGUUUUGCCCGUUUAAUCAACAACGCAGCUCAAAGUGUUUUACAUC